UAGUGGCGAACGGGUGAGUAACACGUGGGCAAUCUGCCCUCCACUCCGGGACAAGCCCUGGAAACGGGGUCUAAUACCGGAUAUCACUUCCACUCUCCUGGGUGGGGGUUGAAAGCUCCGGCGGUGGAGGAUGAGCCCGCGGCCUAUCAGCUGGUUGGUGAGGUAACGGCUCACCAAGGCGACGACGGGUAGCCGGCCUGAGAGGGCGACCGGCCACACUGGGACUGAGACACGGCCCAGACUCCUACGGGAGGCAGCAGUGGGGAAUAUUGCACAAUGGGCGCAAGCCUGAUGCAGCGACGCCGCGUGGGGGAUGACGGCCUUCGGGUUGUAAACCUCUUUCAGCAGGGAAGAAGCCUCACGGUGACGGUACCUGCAGAAGAAGCGCCGGCUAACUACGUGCCAGCAGCCGCGGUAAUACGUAGGGCGCAAGCGUUGUCCGGAAUUAUUGGGCGUAAAGAGCUCGUAGGCGGCUUGUCACGUCGGGUGUGAAAGCCCGGGGCUUAACCCCGGGUCUGCAUUCGAUACGGGCAGGCUGGAGUGUGGUAGGGGAGAUCGGAAUUCCU
rnacentral:rRNA from 1 species